CGGACGGGGUGAGUAACGCGUGGAAAACCUGCCGUAUACUGGGGAGUAAACCUAACUUAGAAAUAGGUGCUAAUACCGCAUAAGCGCACAGCUUCGCAUGAAGCGGUGUGAAAAACUCUGGUGGUAUACGAUGGUUCCGCGUCUGAUUAGCUAGUUGGUGGGGUAAUGGCCUACCAAGGCAACGAUCAGUAGCCGGCCUGAGAGGGUGAACGGCCACAUUGGGACUGAGACACGGCCCAAACUCCUACGGGAGGCAGCAG
rnacentral:rRNA from 1 species